AGUCGAACGGCAGCAUAGAGAGCUUGCUCUCUGAUGGCGAGUGGCGAACGGGUGAGUAAUACAUCGGAACGUGUCCGUUUGUGGGGGACAACCACCCGAAAGGGUGGCUAAUACCGCAUAAGACCUGAGGGUGAAAGCCGGGGACCGCAAGGCCUGGCGCGAACGGAGCGGCCGAUGACUGAUUAGCUGGUUGGCGGGGUAAAGGCCCACCAAGGCGACGAUCAGUAGCUGGUCUGAGAGGACGACCAGCCACACUGGAACUGAGACACGGUCCAGACUCCUACGGGAGGCAGCAGUGGGGAAUUUUGGACAAUGGGGGCAACCCUGAUCCAGCCAUGCCGCGUGCGGGAAGAAGGCCUUCGGGUUGUAAACCGCUUUUGUCAGGGACGAAAAGGUGCGGGUUAAGAGCUAGCACUGAUGACGGUACCUGAAGAAUAAGCACCGGCUAACUACGUGCCAGCAGCCGCGGUAAUACGUAGGGUGCGAGCGUUAAUCGGAAUUACUGGGCGUAAAGCGUGCGCAGGCGGUUGGGUAAGACAGAUGUGAAAUCCCCGGGCUUAACCUGGGAACUGCAUUUGUGACUGUCCGACUGGAGUAUGUCAGAGGGGGGUGGAAUUCCAAGUGUAGCAGUGAAAUGCGUAGAUAUUUGGAAGAACACCGAUGGCGAA
rnacentral:rRNA from 1 species